GACGAACGCUGGCGGCGUGCUUAACACAUGCAAGUCGAACGGAAAGGCCCUGCUUUUGUGGGGUGCUCGAGUGGCGAACGGGUGAGUAACACGUGAGUAACCUGCCCUUGACUUUGGGAUAACUUCAGGAAACUGGGGCUAAUACCGGAUAGGAGCUCCUGCUGCAUGGUGGGGGUUGGAAAGUUUCGGCGGUUGGGGAUGGACUCGCGGCUUAUCAGCUUGUUGGUGGGGUAGUGGCUUACCAAGGCUUUGACGGGUAGCCGGCCUGAGAGGGUGACCGGCCACAUUGGGACUGAGAUACGGCCCAGACUCCUACGGGAGGCAGCAGCGGGGAAUAUUGCACGAUGGGCGGAAGCCUGAUGCAGCAACGCCGCGUGCGGGAUGACGGCCUUCGGGUUGUAAACCGCUUUCGCCUGUGACGAAGCGUGAGUGACGGUAAUGGGUAAAGAAGCACCGGCUAACUACGUG
rnacentral:rRNA from 1 species